rnacentral:rRNA from 1 species
AGCAGCCGCGGUAAUUCCAGCUCCAAUAGCGUAUAUUAAAGUUGUUGCAGUUAAAAAGCUCGUAGUUGAAUUUCGGGAUUCUACCGUUGGUCGGGCUAACAAGUCUGUACUGGUGUGUAGAAUUUCUACCUUCUGGGGAACUAUCAUGUUAUUAAUUUAGCGUGGUGGGAAACCAGGACCUUUACCUUGAAAAAUUAGAGUGUUCAAAGCAGGCUUACGUCUGAAUACAUUAGCAUGGAAUAAUAGAAUAGGACGGUGGUCCUGUUUUGUUGGUUUCUGAAUCACCGUAAUGAUUAAUAGGGAUAGUUGGGGGCAUUAGUAUUCAAUUGUCAGAGGUGAAAUUCUUGGAUUUAUUGAAGACUAACUUCUGCGAAAGCAUUUGCCAAGGAUGUUUUCAUUAAUCAAGAACGAAAGUUAGGGGAUCGAAGACGAUCAGAUACCGUCGUAGUCUUAACCAUAAACUAUGCCGACUAGGGAUCGGACGAUGUUAAAUUUUAUUGACUCGUUC